ACAAGUAAAUAUGGUAUGGACAUCCCAUGAACCAAAACUCGUCUUCUUCUGCGCAACGUUAUCUGACGUCAUGUGGAGUGAAUGACCUUCCACUUCUGUGUUGACAUCUGAUGUCAAAUAUCAAUUUUAAGGGUUAUGAGGCAGUUAUGAGUUUUUGUGGUUAUGAGGGUUAUUGUUUAUUGUUACCAAACUGAUGCGUAAAAACAAAUUGGUGGUUUGCUAGCGACCUAGCGUUGUUAAAAAAAUAGCGGGGAUGAUAGCAAAUAAUAAGUAAAUAUGUAUAUUUCAGCCGAAGAUACUCUGCAGAAUAAAAAUUGUGAAACAUUGCAAAUUGUUUUUACACUGAUUGUGAACAGUAAUAAUAAUUGUACAAAGAAUCUCGUACAUUUGGCCCAUGAUAGGCCAGAAAUAAAGUUUCCAUCGCUUUUGCAAUUUGUAAAAAUUCUGGCGAUGGCUGUAUUAAUUGCCCUUUGGAUAUAAAUUGAAUCCAAUCAGAAGUAGAUGUAGAAGCUACAACAUUCUGUGAUGAGACACCAAGAUGAGAAUAUUUUGUACGAAAACGAUGGGCAACAUAUCCAGCGAGAUACCGGAGACCUUCAUCGCUAACAAUGGUGGAUGGUAAAGAGACAUGAAUAUCAGAGUCAUUAUCAGUGAACUGCAAAUGUGCAAAAUCGUCAAAAUCUUGAUUGCCUGACCAUUCGUUUGAAGUACCGAUUAAUGAUGUGAAAAGGGGUACUGUCAAACAAACUUCAUUUCCACCUAAUGGUUGAACUAAGUUGCAGGCGUUAUCUUCCUCGCAAUUUUUGUUGUUGCUUAAGGCUCUUGGUGAAUGUCUUCCCAGAAUAUACCAUCUUAAGCGAUGCAUAAAAUCUACUGGAUUUGGUUGGUCAUUGGCAGCACCCAUUGCUCUCAUGUGAGAAAAGAAAUUUUCCAAUACAUCUUGAUUCAAGCGAUGGGUCAAAAUAUAUUCCAGAUUGUAUUGUUCUUUGAGGUGCAAAAACAACUUUUCUAGAGAGCUAUUGCUAACAAUAAUCCCUUUUUGAAAUGGUAACAAACAUUUAUGGCCUUUGACUCUUAGCUUUGUUAUAGUUUCAGUCAUUUUAGAUAAAAGUUGUUGCUGCUUCUGGAGAUCUAAACCAUAGCCGACAACGCCAGUGCGCGAAUAUUUAGAAUUGGUAUUAAAUAGAUCAAACCAGUCAUUAACUAACUCGACAAAGUUGGCAAGUAAAUUAAAAUUCGGAUCAUUAAUUAAAUUAUUCUCCCCACAGUACUUAAUGACAUUUGCUGUGGUGCGAGAAAAUAAUUUAGCCGCCCAUUUCACUUUUUGGCGUUGAGAACGCUUAACAUCUAUUAGGUGUUGGGUAAUUUUAUGACCCAUUUUUAAAUCAGAUGUUUCACCCAGAGCUAAAAAUUGUUCAACCGCGCUCUUUGUCAAGGUUGAAUUUUCGAAAAUAAAUCCAUGAUCUAAAAAAUGGUUCCUUAUCAGUUUUAAAAGAUGUGGAACAUCUGCAAAAACAUAAAUGAGCUUUGUUUCAUCACUAGGAUGGCUAAAACUUGUGUUGCUGGUAUUGAUAUUCAAACAUUUCCAUAGUCUCAUGUUGGUCGUACCCAUAUCGCUUACUAUGGCAGUCACUGUGUACCCACUGUGGUACAACUGUUUUAAUGAAUUAUGUAAUAAUUCUUUGGUAACAGGAGUAUCAAAAUUAUAAAAUAUAGGUUGCUUCCAAUUGGAACACAAACCCCGGGCCAUUAUUACUUGGACUGCCUUGUGCGGCCCAAAAACUUGUUCCUUUGUUUUUAGAAAACAAAUUUGUUUAUUCACAAACAUUUCAUCGAAUGAUAAGACAGUGAGUCUUUCUAAAACUGUUAAGUUUUUGGCUUGUUUCUCCAUGAGAAGAGCCACGUUUUUUAGCAAACCUGGACUUAUAUCAAAAGUAUGGGCCCAUCGUCUGAGAGUUCUCAGAUCAGGGAAUGGAAACUUGCAGGUUUGCCUCAAAUAUCGAUAAGCUUUUGGACUCACACUUCUUAAAGAAAUUGCUGAUGCUAUGUCAUCGGACGACCAACAGACACGUUUCUGUUUAAUUAGGCGCCGUAUCUGACCAGGGGUAAACAGUUUUUUUGAAGCUGUACCAAUCGUCACUAAAUCAUUUUUUUCAUUUAAUUUCUUUACGAGUCGUCUAUUUUCCUCUUCAAUUUUUUCAUUUUCACGCUGUAUGUCAUCAUACUUUUUCUGUAAUGCAUUAAAUUUCUUUUCCCACUCGUUUUCAUAAUUUCUUUGUUUAGUUGUAUCCUCAAAGUCAUUUAGCGGCUGAAUACCAUGUUCCGUUUCUUUUGCUACGUCUGUUACACCAAACAAAUUAACAUGACACUUUUUGCGCGCGUUGAUAUCAACUUUUCGCACUAUUUUUUCCGUUGAGCCGUUUUUAUUUGGCGUAAAAUUGUGUUCGACAGACACUUCCACUUGAUCCGAACUUCCACAAAAUCCACUUUUAUUUGGAGAUAAGGGAAUUUUAAUUGUGGGAAUUGCCGUGGACACUAACCUUCUCCUGUUCUUUGGGCUAUAGCCCAAUAUUAUCUGCUGCAUAGAUUUAUAAUUAAAUUUAUCUUCAAAAUGAAGAGAACAUAUUCGAGCUACAAAGAAAACAAAUCUGUGUGAAUAUUCCACUGUUAAAUGUAAAAUACUUAUGCUGUUACCAUUUUUUGUAUUAACAGGAGGAAUCCUACAAAAUGCUGACCACUGCUCUGAUAGAACAGGAUCCUUCGGAAAUCUAUAAAAGUGAAUUCCUUUGGAUUUCUUUUGGCUGGUGUUACAACCCAUGACUGAACAGUAAGCCAUGUUCCAAGAUUUGUAAUAAACAGGAGAUACAAUAACACAAAAACGACAAACUUAAUUCUUGCAUAUACCUGCUACCUCAACUGUCACAAUGUAGAUAUGACGUUAUAUUUUUGUUUUAAGAACGGUAUAAAGUAAAAGAACUUUUCACAAUAUGUUAAAUAAUUUAUUUCUGUCAUUAAAACAAUUCUAUUUCAUGAUGAAAA